rnacentral:rRNA from 1 species
AGUGAACGCUGGCGGUAGGCCUAACACAUGCAAGUCGAACGGCAGCACAGUAAGAGCUUGCUCUUACGGGUGGCGAGUGGCGGACGGGUGAGGAAUACAUCGGAAUCUACUUUUUCGUGGGGGAUAACGUAGGGAAACUUACGCUAAUACCGCAUACGACCUACGGGUGAAAGCAGGGGAUCUUCGGACCUUGCGCGAUUGAAUGAGCCGAUGUCGGAUUAGCUAGUUGGCGGGGUAAGGCCCACCAAGGCGACGAUCCGUAGCUGGUCUGAGAGGAUGAUCAGCCACACUGGAAAUGAGACACGGUCCAGACUCCUACGGGAGGCAGCAGUGGGGAAUAUUGGACAAUGGGCGCAAGCCUGAUCCAGACAUACCGCGUGGGUGAAGAAGGCCUUCGGGUUGUAAAGCCCUUUUGUUGGGAAAGAAAAGCAGCAGGUUAAUACCCCGCUGUUCUGACGGUACCCAAAGAAUAAGCACCGGCUAACUUCGUG